CUUCUUUUAGCAGAGCAUAUACUACCUUGGAACGAUACAAAAUAGGUUAGUAUGGUCCCCGCGCAAGAAUAACACCCAAAAUUGUGAAGUGUUCCACAAUUUU